AUACGGAGGAUGCGAGCGUUAUCCGGAUUUAUUGGGUUUAAAGGGUGCGUAGGCUGUGCGUUAAGUCAGGGGUGAAGUGCCGUCGCUCAACGACGGAGCUGCCCUUGAUACUGGCGUGCUGGAGUACGGAUGCCGUUGGAGGAAUGAGUGGUGUAGCGGUGAAAUGCUUAGAUAUCACUCAGAACACCGAUUGCGAAGGCAUCUGACGAAUCCGUCACUGACGCUGAGGCACGAAAGCGUGGGGAUAGAACAGGAUUAGAUACCCUGGUAUUCCACGCCGUAAACGAUGAUGACUAACCGUCGGCGAUAGACAGCCGGUGGCCAAGCGAAAGCGAUAAGUCAUCCACCUGGGGAGUACGUCGGCAACGAUGAAACUCAAAGGAAUUGACGGGG
rnacentral:rRNA from 1 species